AUGGAUAUUUUUAAAAAACUUAUCUGCUUAAACUCUGUCCUUAAUUUUAAAAUAAUCUCAGUCACUUUCUGUAGAAUGUUCACCUCCCUUGAUUUUUGGGAGACUAGUUCUAUUUGGCAAGCACCAUCUUUCUCAACUAUGUUGACAAAUCCUAAAGCUAUGUAUUUGGGCCUAAAAAUUCUCCUGAGUAUCAAAACAAGAUUUCUAAUACUUUAUGAAAUCCCACAUUAAUUUCAAAUAGGUAACAAAAGCCCUAAUUUACAAAAACAAAAUCACCUUUUAGCUACCCAGAAGCCUUCCCAUCUUUCUUUUGAUUUUCCUGUUUUUGUUUAUAUCUCUAGAAUAAUAAUUAUUUUUCUGUUUCUCUUACUGUCAAAUUUAAUCAUUUUACCCUUCUAAUUUUAUAUCCACAUUCCCUGUUUUUAUUUAUCCUCUACUGUUCAGGUCUUCCAAUAUCUGGUUUUAAAAAAUGAUUCUAUUUUAGUUAUCUCUCUUCAUAGGAUUAUUUUUAAUUAGUUCCAUUCAUUUGGGUUGAAAUGGCACAAAUCUAACUCCAAUUGUUUUAAGCAAACAAAGCAAUUUAUUGAACCAAGUAACUAAAUUCAGAAGAAAUUUCAGCCUUAGCCAUGACCAAAUCCAGAAUGUAGACAUUACCAGUCAUUUGUCUCUUUCCAAGACUCAGCCUCACUUACUUUGUUGGCUUACAUCUCAAGCUCUCUCCCUUUCUUCUCACAGUGAUACUCUUCGAUACAUCCUAUCCAUUUAGAAAUAUGAUCAAUAUAAAAUGCUUAUUACCUCAUAGUUCCAAAUAAUCAAUGGUCCGUAGUCAAUAAGUAUUAUCAGUACUUGAUUUGCCACUUGUCUUCUUAGAAAGACCAGAGGAAAGUGGACUUGUUGGUCAAGUCUAAGACUCAUGCUCAUCCUAUAAAGGGAGAUCUGCUGAGAUAUAGUCAAUCUAAAAGGGCUGGGAAUAGAGAGGGCCUGACAUCCACAAAGAAAAUGCUAGAGAAGCU
rnacentral:lncRNA from 1 species